rnacentral:rRNA from 2 species
ACACAUGCAGUCGAGGGGUAUAGUUCUUCGGAACUAGAGACCGGCGCACGGGUGCGUAACGCGUAUGCAAUCUACCUUUCACAGAGGGAUAGCCCAGAGAAAUUUGGAUUAAUACCUCAUAGUAUAAUGAGUUGGCAUCAACACAUUAUUAAAGUCACAACGGUGAAAGAUGAGCAUGCGUCCCAUUAGCUAGAUGGUAAGGUAACGGCUUACCAUGGCUACGAUGGGUAGGGGUCCUGAGAGGGAGAUCCCCCACACUGGUACUGAGACACGGACCAGACUCCUACGGGAGGCAGCAGUGAGGAAUAUUGGACAAUGGGCGCAAGCCUGAUCCAGCCAUGCCGCGUGCAGGAUGACGGUCCUAUGGAUUGUAAACUGCUUUUGUACAGGAAGAAACACUGGUUCGUGAACCAGCUUGACGGUACUGUAAGAAUAAGGAUCGGCUAACUCCGUGCCAGCAGCCGCGGUAAUACGGAGGAUCCAAGCGUUAUCCGGAAUCAUUGGGUUUAAAGGGUCCGUAGGCGGUUUAGUAAGUCAGUGGUGAAAGCCCAUCGCUCAACGGUGGAACGGCCAUUGAUACUGCUAAACUUGAAUUAUUAGGAAGUAACUAGAAUAUGUAGUGUAGCGGUGAAAUGCUUAGAGAUUACAUGGAAUACCAAUUGCGAAGGCAGGUUACUACUAAUGGAUUGACGCU